GACGAACGCUGGCGGCGUGCCUAAUACAUGCAAGUAGAACGCAGUUGCGAACGGGUGAGUAACGCGUAGGUAACUGCCUGGUAGCGGGGGAUAACUAUUGGAAACGAUCGCUAAUACCGCAUACUACCAGAUGGACCUGCUUUGUAUUAGCUAGUUGGUGCGGUAACGGCAGACCAAGGCAACGAUACAUAGCCGACCUGAUAGGGUGAUCGGCCAAACUGGGAAUGCGACACGGCCCAGAAUCCUACGGGAGGCAGCAGUAGGGAAUCUUCGGCAAUGGGGGGAAACCUGACCGAGCAACGCCGCGUGAGUGGAGAAGGUUUUCGGAUCGUAAAGCGCUGUUGUUAAGGAAGCGGUACUUAACCAGAAAGGGACGGCUAACUACGUGCCAGCCGCCGCGGUAAUUC
rnacentral:rRNA from 1 species